rnacentral:rRNA from 1 species
UACGUAGGUGGCAAGCGUUGUCCGGAUUUACUGGGCGUAAAGAGCGCGCAGGCGGUCGUUCAAGUCGCGUGUGAAAGCCCCCGGCUCAACUGGGGAGGGUCACGCGAUACUGAUCGACUGGAAGGCAGGAGAGGGUAGUGGAAUUCCCGGUGUAGUGGUGAAAUUCGUAGAUAUUCGCAAGAACACCAGUGGCGAAGGCGGCUCACUGGCCCGAUACUGACGCUGAGGUGCGAAAGCGUGGGGAGCAAACAGGG